rnacentral:rRNA from 1 species
AUUGAACGCUGGCGGCAUGCCUUACACAUGCAAGUCGAACGGUAACGGGCCUUCGGGUGCCGACGAGUGGCGAACGGGUGAGUAAUACAUCGGAACGUGCCCGAUCGUGGGGGAUAAUGAGGCGAAAGCUUUGCUAAUACCGCAUACGAUCUACGGAUGAAAGCAGGGGACCGCAAGGCCUUGCGCGGACGGAGCGGCCGAUGGCAGAUUAGGUAGUUGGUGGGAUAAAAGCUUACCAAGCCGACGAUCUGUAGCUGGUCUGAGAGGAUGAUCAGCCACACUGGGACUGAGACACGGCCCAGACUCCUACGGGAGGCAGCAGUGGGGAAUUUUGGACAAUGGGCGCAAGCCUGAUCCAGCCAUGCCGCGUGCAGGAUGAAGGCCUUCGGGUUGUAAACUGCUUUUGUACGGAACGAAAAGCCUUCUUUUAAUACAGGAGGGUCAUGACGGUACCGUAAGAAUAAGCACCGGCUAACUACGUG